GAAGAAGGCUUCUGGUUGUAAAGUACUUCAGCAGUGAGGAAGGGGGGAGUCGUAUAGCGGCCUCAUUUGACGUUAGCUGCAGUAGGAAGCACCGGCUAACUCCGUGCCAGCAGGCGGCGGUAUACGGAGGGUGCGAGCGUUAAUCGUAAUUACUGGGCGUAAAGCGCAUGCAGGUGGUUUGUUAAGUCAGAUGUGAAAGCCCGGGGCUCAACCCUCGGAAUUGCAUUUGAAACUGGCAAACUAGAGUACUGUAGAGGGGGGGUAGAAUUUCAGGUGUAGCGGUGAAAUGCGUAGAGAUCUGAAGGGAAUACCGGUGGCGAAGGCGGCCCCCUGGACAGAUACUGACACUCAGAUGCGAAAGCGUGGGGAGCAAACAGGAUUAGAUACCCUGGUAGUCCACGCCGUAAACGAUGUCUACUUGGAGGUUGUGGCCCUGAGCCGUGGCUUUCGGAGCUAACGCGUUAAGUAGACCGCCUGGGGAGUACGGUCGCAAGAUUAAAACUCAAAUGAAUUGACGGGGGCCCGCACAAGCGGUGGAGCAUGUGGUUUAAUUCGAUGCAACGCGAAGAACCUUACCUACUCUUGACAUCCAGAGAAUCCUACGGAGACGUGGGAGUGCCUUCGGGAACUCUGAGACAGGUGCUGCAUGGCUGUCGUCAGCUCGUGUUGUGAAAUGUUGGGUUAAGUCCCGCAACGAGCGCAACCCUUAUCCUUGUUUGCCAGCACUUCGGGUGGGAACUCCAGGGAGACUGCCGGUGAUAAACCGGAGGAAGGUGGGGACGACGUCAAGUCAUCAUGGCCCUUACGAGUAGGGCUACACACGUGCUACAAUGGCGCAUACAGAGGGCGGCCAACUUGCGAAAGUGAGCGAAUCCCAAAAAGUGCGUCGUAGUCCGGAUUGGAGUCUGCAACUCGACUCCAUGAAGUCGGAAUCGCUAGUAAUCGUGGAUCAGAAUGCCACGGUGAAUACGUUCCCGGGCCUUGUACCACUACCCGCCCG
rnacentral:rRNA from 1 species